AGUCCGUUGGAGAGAAUCCUCGGGACAUUCUCGUUAGCAGUCGAUCUUCCACGCUGCACUUUGAACGCCGCCGGACUGAAGAUCCAGUUUAACGGCCGCGACGUUAAUGGGGUGUAAUUUCUGACCUAGUUCCCCUGUACAUCGCUGAAUAAUCAAUUUCGUACGUCGUGGCGUUGUGAUUAUUUUAUAAUCGUGGCAAUACGGCCGAAACGUAAUUUCGUUAUCAAUUCUAUGCUUUUGCUCGAGGGAUUUAUCACCGUUGCGAAUACUCGUUUGUUUGAUCUGCACACUUGAAGAGUGUAACACGAAAAAUGGGUCGCGAUAAUAAAAUCGACCAAUAGCGCGAAACGGAUUUUCUAAUUCGGUAUUUAUGGAGGACUGUUCAGAUUAUAUUUAUUACGCUUAUCUUUGCCACGUUCGUGACAUAUUAAUCGUCACGGUAAGUAUGAUCCACCAAGAUUAAGAAGGUUUAUUGCGGUUUCGAUCCAAAUAUGGUAUGAUCCAAUCAUUACAUUGAAUGGAAUUUUCGAGGAGAAAAGAGGAGUGGAACUCCAAAUAUAAAAUUUUAGCUGAGAGCGUAUUUAGUUUUUGAUAUUAAUGAAAAUCUUUCUGUGACACACUGGUGACAAAGUGAUAAUAUUUGUAUUAUACAAAUAGUAGAUAAACAGUGGUCACGGACAAUAUUCAACGUAUAAUAUCGAAAUUUUUAUUAAUAUUUUUGAAACUAAUAAAUAUUCGCGAGUAAAA